rnacentral:ncRNA from 2 species
GCAAAACACUAGGGGUGCCAUUCAGCAAUCGCUGAGUGGCUGAGAUCACACCCUCCGAACCUGAUACGGGUUGUGCCGGCGCAGGGAAGUGAAAUGACGUGAUC